rnacentral:rRNA from 1 species
UAUGUGAUCGUCUCUCGCAUAUCAAUAAGCGGAGGAAAAGAAACUAACAAGGAUUCCCUUAGUAACGGCGAGUGAAGCGGGAAGAGCUCAAAUUUGAAAUCUUCAAGGUUUUACCUUGACGAAUUGUAGUUUAAAGAAGUGUUUUCUGUUGAAGUUUUGGUAAAAGUUCUUUGGAAUAGGACAUCAUAGAGGGUGAGAAUCCCGUAUUUGACCAUUAUUUUCAGCUGUGUGAUACACUUUCAAAGAGUCGGAUUGUUUGGGAAUGCAGUCCAAAAUGGGUGGUAAAUUUCAUCUAAAACUAAAUAUUGGCGAGAGACCGAUAGCGAACAAGUACCGUGAGGGAAAGAUGAAAAGAACUUUGAAAAGAGAGUUAAACAGUACGUGAAAUUGUCAAAAGGGAAGCGUUUGACACCAGUGUUGUUUUCUCGAAAAUCAAUUAAAAAGAGUUAGAUUUUGUUGUGUAUUGACCUUAAUCAGCUUGACUUUCACUUUUUCUUGCUCUUUUUAAUGCACUUUUCGUUUAACAAGUCAACAUCAGUUUCUUUUGUUGUAAAAAGGUCAUUGGAAGGUGGCUUUCUUUUCGGAGAAAGUGUUUAUAGCCUUUGACUUCCUAGCAAUCGGAGAGACUUGAGGUCUGCAGCGUAGAUCCUUCGGGGUUAGAUACAUUAGAUGCUAAGUUAUAGUUUUUUAUAGACAACUUGUUGACUAUGAUUAGUCAUGUAGCUUACUCGUUUACUGCUAUUCUACCUACGCUUAGGAUGUUGAUCUCUCACAGUCGAGC